rnacentral:rRNA from 1 species
UACGAAGGGGGCGAGCGUUGUUCGGAAUUACUGGGCGUAAAGGGCGCGUAGGCGGCCGAUCAAGUUAGAUGUGAAAGUCCUGGGCUUAACCUGGGGACUGCAUUUGAUACUGAUUGGCUUGAAUUCGGGAGAGGAUAGCGGAAUUCCUAGUGUAGAGGUGAAAUUCGUAGAUAUUGGGAAGAACACCGGUGGCGAAGGCGGCUAUCUGGACCGACAUUGACGCUGAGGCGCGAAAGCGUGGGGAGCAAACAGG